AAAGUAAGGGAUCGAAAGACCUUAUGCUUUUGGAGCGGCCGAUGUCUGAUUAGCUAGUUGGUAAGGUAAUGGCUUACCAAGGCGACGAUCAGUAGUUGGUCUGAGAGGACGGCCAGCCACACUGGGACUGAGACACGGCCCAGACUCCUACGGGAGGCAGCAGUGGGGAAUUUUGGACAAUGGGCGCAAGCCUGAUCCAGCAAUGCCGCGUGAGUGAAGAAGGCCUUCGGGUUGUAAAGCUCUUUCAGUCGAGAAGAAAAGGUUGUGACUAAUAAUCAUAACUCAUGACGGUAUCGACAGAAGAAGCACCGCUAACUACGUGCCAGCAGCCGCGGUAAUACGUAGGGUGCGAGCGUUAAUCGGAAUUACUGGGCGUAAAGGGUGCGCAGGCGGU
rnacentral:rRNA from 1 species